rnacentral:rRNA from 1 species
UGACCCUGGAGGAGAUUGAACGCUGGCGGCAGGCCUAACACAUGCCAUUCGAGCGGUAGAGAGAAGCUUGCUUCUCUUGAGAGCGGCGGACGGGUGAGUAAUGCCUAGGAAUCUGCCUGGUAGUGGGGGAUAACGUUCGGAAACGGACGCUAAUACCGCAUACGUCCUACGGGAGAAGGCAGGGGACCUUCGGGCCUUGCGCUAUCAGAUGAGCCUAGGUCGGAUUAGCUAGUUGGUGAGGUAAUGGCUCACCAAGGCGACGAUCCGUAACUGGUCUGAGAGGAUGAUCAGUCACACUGGAACUGAGACACGGUCCAGACUCCUACGGGAGGCAGCAGUGGGGAAUAUUGGACAAUGGGCGAAAGCCUGAUCCAGCCAUGCCGCGUGUGUGAAGAAGGUCUUCGGAUUGUAAAGCACUUUAAGUUGGGAGGAAGGGCAGUAAAUUAAUACUUUGCUGUUUUGACGUUACCGACAGAAUAAGCACCGGCUAACUCUGUGCCAGCAGCCGCGGUAAUACAGAGGGUGCAAGCGUUAAUCGGAAUUACUGGGCGUAAAGCGCGCGUAGGUGGUUUGUUAAGUUGGAUGUGAAAUCCCCGGGCUCAACCUGGGAACUGCAUUCAAAACUGACUGACUAGAGUAUGGUAGAGGGUGGUGGAAUUUCCUGUGUAGCGGUGAAAUGCGUAGAUAUAGGAAGGAACACCAGUGGCGAAGGCGACCACCUGGACUAAUACUGACACUGAGGUGCGAAAGCGUGGGGAGCAAACAGGAUUAGAUACCCUGGUAGUCCACGCCGUAAACGAUGUCAACUAGCCGUUGGAAGCCUUGAGCUUUUAGUGGCGCAGCUAACGCAUUAAGUUGACCGCCUGGGGAGUACGGCCGCAAGGUUAAAACUCAAAUGAAUUGACGGGGGCCCGCACAAGCGGCGGAGCAUGUGGUUUAAUUCGAAGCAACGCGAAGAACCUUACCAGGCCUUGACAUCCAAUGAACUUUCUAGAGAUAGAUUGGUGCCUUCGGGAACAUUGAGACAGGUGCUGCAUGGCUGUCGUCAGCUCGUGUCGUGAGAUGUUGGGUUAAGUCCCGUAACGAGCGCAACCCUUGUCCUUAGUUACCAGCACGUAAUGGUGGGCACUCUAAGGAGACUGCCGGUGACAAACCGGAGGAAGGCGGGGAUGACGUCAAGUCAUCAUGGCCCUUACGGCCUGGGCUACACACGUGCUACAAUGGUCGGUACAGAGGGUUGCCAAGCCGCGAGGUGGAGCUAAUCCCAUAAAACCGAUCGUAGUCCGGAUCGCAGUCUGCAACUCGACUGCGUGAAGUCGGAAUCGCUAGUAAUCGCGAAUCAGAAUGUCGCGGUGAAUACGUUCCCGGGCCUUGCACACACCGCCCGUC